UACGUAGGCAGCGAGCGUUGUUCGGAGUUACUGGGCGUAAAGAGUGCGUAGGCGGUUUUCUAAGUUUGGUGUGAGAUCUCCCGGCUUAACUGGGAGGGUGCGCCGAAGACUGGAAGGCUUGAGUAUGGGAGAGGUAAGCGGAAUUCCUGGUGUAGCGGUGAAAUGCGCAGAUAUCAGGAGGAACACCGAUUGCGAAGGCAGCUCGCUGGGACGUAACUGACGCUGAGACGCGAAAGCGUGGGGAGCAAACAGG
rnacentral:rRNA from 1 species